AACAAACGCUGGCGGCGUGGAUAAGACAUGCAAGUCGAACGAGACUUUUCGUUGUAGCAAUACGAUGGAAAGUUUAGUGGCGAACGGGUGCUUAACACGCGGGCAACCUGCCAGGAAGUGGGGGAUAGCUCGCCGAAAGGCGAAUUAAUACUGCAUGUGAUUAGAAAGGACAUCCUUUCGAAAUUAAAGUCGGGGCAACCUGACGCUUCUUGUGGGGCCCGCGGCCUAUCAGCUAGUUGGUGAGGUAAUGGCUCACCAAGGCUUUGACGGGUAGCUGGUCUGAGAGGACGACCAGCCACACUGGGACUGAGACACGGCCCAGACACCUACGGGUGGCAGCAGUCGAGAAUUUUUGACAAUGGGGGAAACCCUGAUCGAGCGACGCCGCGUGGAGGAUGAAGGUCUUCGGAUUGUAAACUCCUGUCAUUGGGGAACAAGGUGCAUACGUUAACUGCGUGUGCAUUGAUAGUACCCGAAGAGGAAGAGACGGCUAACUCUGUGCCAGCAGCCGCGGUAAAAC
rnacentral:rRNA from 1 species